UGCUGGCCGAUGAUGGGUGAAAAUAAAUGUCUGAACAAAUGAAAUCACAGUGAUAUUACUGUUUUCUCUGAGGUCAUCA